rnacentral:lncRNA from 1 species
AUGAGCAAGGAAACAUGCCAAGCGCCAAUGGAAAGAGACCCUCUAAGCCACGAGGAAGACCUGGCUAAGGUGAUCGACCUCCAGGAAGUCAUAGACAAGCAGGAGCAGAGCCAGAUGGAGGAGCGCCUGGCAGCCCUCUUUGCCCAUGUGACUGAAGGAGGACCUGGACAUGGCCAGGAAGGACCUCCUCAAGUCCGAGGACGUGAACAGGAAACUGCAGCAGGAUGUUCACGAAGCGAGUCUGGUGACGUCUGUGGAGCCCGUUCUCUCGGAGAGAUGGGAGCAUGCUGUGUGGACUCUGCUGAGGCAGCUUGCCUGGCCAUCUUCUCUGGUUUUCUGAGGUUCCGCUCCUUGAAGGGAUGUGUGACAGUGAUACCGGCGGUCAGACAAGUCAAGUGGCAUUUGCUCACCCUCAGAUCCUCAGGCCCGAGUUGUGUAACCAUGUGGAAUCAUGAUGUUUCUGGCGGUCGUGUCUGCGGGUGUCAUGAUUUAUAA